ACUCGGCUGGCUCAGGCGGAAGAGUGUGUGACUUUUGAUCUCAGGGUCCUGAGUUCAAGCCUCACGCUGGGUG
rnacentral:tRNA from 1 species